rnacentral:rRNA from 1 species
AAGGGGCCAGUAAUGGCACCGAGCGCACCUUUGGGGAACGCGUACACAACGUACCUCAGAGCGGGGGAUAGCAUUGGGAAACUGGUGGUAAUACCCCAUGGUGUUGUAGGAUGGCAUCAUUUUACAAUUAAAGGUUACACUCUGAGAUCGGUGUGCGUCUGAUUAGCUAGUUGGCGGGGUAACGGCCCACCAAGCCAGCGAUCAGUAGGGGGCGUGAGAGCGUGACCCUCCCACACGGGUACUGAGACACGGACCCGACUCCUACGGGAGGCAGCAGUAAGGAAUAUUGGUCAAUGGUGGAAACACUGAACCAGCUAUCCCGCGUGCAGGAUGAAGGCCCUCCGGGUUGUAAACUGCUUUUACCAGGGAAGAAACGCACAGUUUCGCACUGUGCCUGACGGUACCUGGGGAAUCAGCACCGGCUAACUCCGUGCCAGCAGCCGCGGUAAUACGGAGGGUGCAAGCGUUAUCCGGAAUCACUGGGUUUAAAGGGUGCGUAGGCGGUUUGAUAAGUCAGUGGUGAAAGCUUCCCGCUCAACGGGAGAAUUGCCAUUGAUACUGUCAGACUUGAAUCAAUACGAGGCACGGCGGAAUGUGACAUGGUAGCGGUGAAAUUGCUUAGAUAUGUCAUAGAACACCGAUUGCGAAGGCAGCCUGCUGGGCCUUGAUUGCACGCUGAGGCUCGUAAAGCGUGGGG